rnacentral:rRNA from 1 species
GAGUCGGACCUGCCCAGUGAAUUAACUUUUCAACGGCCGCGGUACUCUGACCGUGCAAAGGUAGCAUAAUCAUUUGCCCUAUAAUUGAGGGCUAGUAUGAAUGGUUUGACGUGAGCAAAACUGUCUCUAUAUAAAUUUCUAGAACUUGAUUUUUAGGUGAAGAAACCUAGAUUCCAUUGAUAGACAAGAAGACCCUAUUGAGCUUUAAAGAAAUAGGUAGAAAAUAAUAUAUAAUUCUAAAUAUUAAUCUAUCUUAAAUUUUGGUUGGGGCGACUAAGGAACAAACAAAGCUUCUUUACCAUUUCCACACCUACAGGUUUUGAUCCAGAAGUUCUGAUUAAUGAAAUUAGUUACCAUAGGGAUAACAGCAUAAUUUUCUUUGAGAGUCCCUAUCGAAAAGAAAGUUUGUGACCUCGAUGUUGGACUAGAAUAUCCUAAAGAUGCAGCAGUCUUUAAGGGUUGGUC